rnacentral:rRNA from 1 species
UACGGAGGAUGCGAGCGUUAUCCGGAUUUAUUGGGUUUAAAGGGCGCGUAGGCGGAUCGUUAAGUCAGUGGUCAAAUUGAGAGGCUCAACCCCUUCCCGCCAUUGAAACUGGCGAUCUUGAGUGGAGGAGAAGUAUGCGGAAUGCGUGGUGUAGCGGUGAAAUGCGUAGAUAUCACGCAGAACCCCGAUUGCGAAGGCAGCAUGCCGGCUUCCGACUGACGCUGAAGCACGAAAGCGUGGGGAUCGAACAGG